CUUUGGUGAAGUCCAGUAAUUCAAGUGUUUGGCUAACAAUCAUCAAGGCCACAAAAACCCAGCCUCUGCUCUUGGCAGUAUCAGGAACUUCAUAGAAUACAUCACUUUCAAAUUGCAGCUGCAAAUGGUCUUGUUAAAGGUAUCAUCAGACAAACUUAAAGAUGAUCUGACAAUGUCAUUUUCCAAGGGACUGAUAGAAAGAUUGAGUAUCAUGGAAUCAGAACAGACAACAGAGAAUCAGAUUUGGACUGAAUCAGAAUAAACAGGCAAUGCAGACACUUGUUCUCUGAAUCACAAUCAAGACUCAGUGCUGGAACAGAUUUGAGGAAUGUAUACAAUUCUUAUCUAAACUGAUGUCUGAUAUUUAACCAGGAAUCAACUUACUCUGGUGAGCUUUGUUGAGAGUAGAUUUUUUGAGGAAAGAAUUGAAGGAGUGGCCAUAUUCAUACUAGAAUAAAACAUAGGAGAUGUCAAGAUUAUCUGAAGAAGGGGAGAGAAGAGACACCAGAUACUUGCAGACACAGAAGAAAUACCAUGUGCAAACAUACCCAGAAGACCACCAUCUGCAAGAGAAGGAGAGAGACCUCAGAAUACACCAAUGCUGCUGAAACCUUCAUCUUGGACUUCCAGCCUCCAGACUUUGAGAAAAUAAAUUUCUGUUGUUUAAGGAGCGCAGUCUAUGGUAUUUGGUAA
rnacentral:lncRNA from 10 species